CAUUGACGUCAGCCCAAACACCAUUUAUCUUGCACGGGUCUUACAAUUUAAUUAAUGUUCCAGCGAAUGAGCAUUUAAUAUGCAAUGGCGUAGAACCAGUAGUCGCCACACAACUUUUCGCCGGCAGUAAAAGUUCCUUUCCUCUACCGUACCCUGCCCCACUUUUGGAGAGUAGCUAAGCUGUAGGCGGGAUAUCUAAACUCACUUCUUUGACAAACUAGAUCCGGUUGGACUUCAUUUAAUGCUGAAGACUCAACCGAAAACAGAAUUGGCUAGACCAAAAAGAAAGAGGAAAGAGAGGCUGGGACGACAAGAAACAAGUUGGCGAAGAAAUUUAUGUCGAUGGGAAUUCCCAAAAAAACCCAAAUACUGGGCCAAAUCGUCGCACACAAUAACAAAUUCCCAUGACGUCGUGUAGCAAACAAACUUUACAGACAUUCAUCAAAGGCAUUUAUCAUUAGCCAAGAAAGAAAGAUGAUCGCUUGAUCGCCGUUAGCAAAAUGCAGAGAAACCUUUUGGCGCCAGUUAUCCAGACGGAUUCGGAUCUUAUGUGUAUGUACAUAUGCAUGGAAUGGAAUACUAGUUCCCUGUGCAGCUCCGCCGCCAUCAUUGGGUUUCCCAUAACACGUGCUAAGAGCCUACUCAGCCUACCCAUCAACAGUUUAAGAAAGUCGUCAAAACAAACCGUUUAAAUGAAUUUUCGAUGCUGUGAGUCUCAUUUCCAAUUCGCAUAAUAUAUCAAGUUGUCAAAUUAAAUUUGCAUGCCAUUAAUACUUAUUCAGCCAAAUGAAGCGCAGCUGAAGCCGCCCCUAAAACUUGAUGUGUUUUGCCAACACAUAUAGAAUUGGUGAAGCUGGAAAACCGCAUUUCAAGCUCAAACUAUGGUGGCAACAGGCAAAUUUCUAGGCUUAAUGCGAAUUUUGGAACUUAGGAAUUUUUUUUGUUUAACCAUUGAAUAUGUGAAUAAUGUUGUCGGGGAAGCCGAGCGGCAGAUUGGCGCCGAAAUAAUUAAUUAUAAAUUUACUGUCUCGACAUUAAUAACCCAUUUGGCAUUUGCAUAUAAAUUAGAACAUUCGAAAACAACAGCCUCCCUUCCCCUCCCUUCACAACAACAGCUGCAGAUAACAAACACGUAUAACUAAACCAGUGUGAAUGGCAUACAUAUGUACAUAUACAUAUGAAGAUAAGGCGCGACUACCGCAUACCCCUUAAUACUCAGUAUAGGAGGUAAAUGGAUAGUACAGCAGUCUAAGCCAAUAUGCGCAAUAGUUUUC
rnacentral:lncRNA from 1 species